UACGGAGGGGGCGAGCGUUAUUCGGAAUUAUUGGGCGUAAAGGGCGCGUAGGCGGCUUGGCAAGUCAAAGGUGAAAUCCCUCGGCUCAACUGAGGAACUGCCUUUGAAACUGCCUGGCUUGAGGCCGGGAGGGGGGUAGCGGAAUUCCCCAGUGUAGCGGUGAAAUGCGUAGAGAUCUGGAGGAACACCGAUGGCGAAGGCAGCCUUCUGGGCCAACACUGACGCUCAUGCACGAAAGCGUGGGGAGCAAACAGG
rnacentral:rRNA from 1 species